UCACCAUGUAGCCUGUGGCUGGCCUCGAA
rnacentral:piRNA from 1 species